UUAAGAAGGCUAUUGAAGAUAGAAUAACCAAAGAUGGUGUCAUUGGUAUAGGAAUUACUGUGACUACUAUAGGACUCAUUGUUGGUGGGAUUGUAGCAUCGUUGGUCCGAAGAAACUGAUCUUCGACUGCUUAUCAUGCUUUGUAUGAAGCAUGUAUGAGGUUAUUGACCACUCAUUAAAACACCACAAAAAUCCGAGUUUCAACUGAAAAAAGAAGAUGAAUGAAACAUAUUUGCUGGUUUCUUUUCCAUUUCCCUGCCUUUUUCUUCUCUUCGUCUCGUUUAAGGGAGCCAAUGAAUGUUCUAUAGAAUAAUGACAGGCCAAAUGGCUGAGAUUUUGUGAUUAACUGCUCGUUUGGGUAAAGCCUCACAUUAGAAUUACUAGUUACUGUAUGUCAAGUAAAUUUUGCUUCGAUAUUUGUUAUUAUGUGUGAAAAACACAGGUAAACAGUAAUUACCUAGUGAAUCAAAAUACAUGGACUGUAUGAUGUCCUUUUACAUUA